rnacentral:lncRNA from 1 species
CUUCCAUCACAAAAAAAAUGAAGAUGACAAUCCUAUAGACACUAAUUCUGAUUACAACAAAACAUCAUCCUAUUCCAAUGAUCAAUUUUCUGGUGGUGACUAUGGUGGUGGAUACUCUGACAACCAAGGAACCACCGGUGGUGGCUAUGGUGGAGGAUACUCUGACAACCAAGGAACCACCGGUGGUACCUAUGGUGGAGGAUACUCUGACAACCAAGGAACCACCGGUGGUGGCUAUGGUGAUGGAUAUUCUGACACCAAAGCAACCACUGGUGGUGGUUAUGGUGGUGAUGGAUAUGGUGACAAAUACUCCAACACCCAAACCACUGGUGGUGGCUAUGGUGACGGAUACUCUAACACAGCCACCGGUGGUGAUGGCUAUGGUGACGGAUAC